rnacentral:rRNA from 1 species
UACGGAGGGGACUAGCGUUGUUCGGAAUUACUGGGCGUAAAGCGCACGUAGGCGGAUUUGUAAGUCAGGGGUGAAAUCCCGGGGCUCAACCCCGGAACUGCCUUUGAUACUGCGAAUCUCGAGUCCGGAAGAGGUGAGUGGAAUUCCUAGUGUAGAGGUGAAAUUCGUAGAUAUCGGGAGGAACACCAGUGGCGAAGGCGACUACCUGGCCUGUUCUUGACGCUGAGGCGCGAAAGCUAGGGGAGCAAACGGG